ACUCCUACGGGAGGCAGCAGUGGGGAAUAUUGCACAAUGGGGGAAGCCCUGAUGCAGCCAUGCCGCGUGUGUGAAGAAGGCCUUCGGGUUGUAAAGCACUUUCAGUAGGGAGGAAGGUAGUGUAGUUAACACCUGCACUAUUUGACGUUACCUACAGAAGAAGCACCGGCUAACUCCGUGCCAGCAGCCGCGGUAAUACGGAGGGUGCGAGCGUUAAUCGGAAUUACUGGGCGUAAAGCGCAUGCAGGCGGCCUGUUAAGUCAGAUGUGAAAGCCCGGGGCUUAACCUCGGAAUUGCAUUUGAAACUGGCAGGCUAGAGUCUUGUAGAGGGGGGUUAGAAUUUCAGGUGUAGCGGUGAAAUGCGUAGAGAUCUGAAGGAUACCAGUGGCGAAGGCGGCCCCCUGGACAAAGACUGACGCUCAGAUGCGAAAGCGUGGGGAGCAAACAGGAUUAGAUACCCUGGUAGCACA
rnacentral:rRNA from 1 species